rnacentral:rRNA from 1 species
AGAACGAACGCUGGCGGCAUGCCUAAUACAUGCAAGUCGAACGAACUCUUCGGAGUUAGUGGCGCACGGGUGCGUAACGCGUGGGAAUCUGCCCUUGGGUUCGGAAUAACAGUUGGAAACGACUGCUAAUACCGGAUGAUGACGAAAGUCCAAAGAUUUAUCGCCCAGGGAUGAGCCCGCGUAGGAUUAGCUAGUUGGUGAGGUAAAGGCUCACCAAGGCGACGAUCCUUAGCUGGUCUGAGAGGAUGAUCAGCCACACUGGGACUGAGACACGGCCCAGACUCCUACGGGAGCAGCAGUAGGGAAUAUGGACAAUGGGCGCAAGCCUGAUCCAGCAAUGCCGCGUGAGUGAUGAAGGCCUUAGGGUUGUAAAGUCUCUUUACCCGAGAUGAUAAUGACAGUAUCGGAAGAAUAACGCCCGACUAACC